rnacentral:rRNA from 1 species
AUUGAACGCUGGCGGCAGGCCUAACACAUGCAAGUCGAACGGUAACAGGAAGAAGCUUGCUUCUUUGCUGACGAGUGGCGGACGGGUGAGUAAUGUCUGGGAAACUGCCUGAUGGAGGGGGAUAACUACUGGAAACGGUAGCUAAUACCGCAUAACGUCGCAAGACCAAAGAGGGGGACCUCCUGGCCCCUUGCCCUCGGAUGUGCCCAGAUGGGAUUAGCUAGUAGGUGGGGUAACGGCUCACCUAGGCGACGAUCCCUAGCUGGUCUGAGAGGAUGACCAGCCACACUGGAACUGAGACACGGUCCAGACUCCUACGGGAGGCAGCAGUGGGGAAUAUUGCACAAUGGGCGCAAGCCUGAUGCAGCCAUGCCGCGUGUAUGAAGAAGGCCUUCGGGUUGUAAAGUACUUUCAGCGGGGAGGAAGGGGGUAAAGUUAAUACCUUUGCUCAUUGACGUUACCCGCAGAAGAAGCACCGGCUAACUCCGUG